AUGUAACUGCCAUGGGGUAGGAAACCUGGAACUAUUCUCCGAGUGUAUAAGACUGAGAUUUUCAAAUGAAGAGCAACCCAGGUCGAAGAGGAAAGACGGGCAACAUCUGGAUGGGACCACAGAGCUUCCAGGCUGAUGCUCAGCCACACGCAAAGCACACCAAGCAAGCAACAAAAAAGAGCAAACUGCACCUCUCCACGCCAUGCACCACGUCAUCUUGAUCUGAAGACUUAUUCUGUGAAGCCUUAAACACACUGGGAAGGGAGAAUUUUCAGGUUAACGAAGCAAACGCCCGGAGAUACAGGCAUUUCACGGACAGGCUUAGUCACUCCUGCUUGAACAGCUGCUUCCCUGCGCCAUGUCUAAGGUCGGGUUCAUCCAUGGCAGAGCUCAGCAGCUCUCACUCAAGUUGGAUGAAUGCAUGAAAGAGUUUUCUGUUGACAUUAUUCUGAUGCUUCCAGGGGACCAGUUCCUACCCUCGCUCAGGAAGAUUCUGCCCCUUCGUGGUGGGAGGUGGACUCGAUUAAAGGACUAGGGUAGAUAAAAGCUUUUGUCUGAGAGUCUGAAUUCCUGAGAACUGCUCAAGGUCAACCAGAUGUACCAAAUAUACCCUGCCCCUCCUGGCUUCCAAGCUCUCCCCUUUAUUUUUAACAAUUUUCUUCUUUUGUGAUCACCACUUUUUAUGCAAAAUCCAAAGAGGAAAUGGAGUGGACUGUCUUAAAACCUGUUGGGGGAAGGUGGGAUAAAUACAUGCCACAGAUAACAGCUGCAAUUCCUCAACUUCGCACUUCCCUUUGGAUAUGCUCUCACAGCGCAUCCUCACUCUCAGGCUGCACGCUAACAGCCUUUAAGAUUGUGGACAUGGUAAGGAAAAGAAAAAGAUUGUGUACAUGAUAUCUAA